ACUGGUAGGCUUGGGACCGGGAGAGGUGGGAGGUACUCCAGGGGUAGGGGUGAAAUCUCGUAAUCCUUGGGGGACCACCGUUGGCGAAGGCAUCCCACCAGAACGGGUCCGACGGUGAGGGACGAAAGCUGGGGGCACGAACCGGAUUAGAUACCCGGGUAGUCCCAGCUGUAAACGAUGCUCGCUAGGUGUCAGGUGCGGUGCGACCGCAU
rnacentral:rRNA from 1 species